rnacentral:rRNA from 1 species
UUCCGGUUGAUCCUGCCGGACCCGACUGCUAUUUGGGUGAGGAUAAGCCAUGCGAGUUGAAUGGGAAACCUAAAGUUCCCAUGGCAAACUGCUCAGUAACACAUGAUCAACUUAACCUAUAGAGAAAAAUAACCUCGGGAAACUGAGGAUAAUGUUUCAUAGCUGAAUUGGCUUGGAAAAGUUUUUCGGCGAAAGGGGUAAAAAAAAUGGUUUUUAUCUGCUAUAGGAUAGGAUCGUGUUCGAUUAUGGUUGUUGGUGAGGUAAUGGCUCACCAAGCCGAUAAUCGAUAGGGGCCGUGAGAGCGGGAGCCCCGAGAUGGGUACUGAGACAACGACCCAGGCCUUACGAGGCGCAGCAGGCGCGAAACCUCCGCAAUACACGAAAGUGUGACGGGGUUACCCAAAGUGUUCAAUAGAACUGUGGUAGGUGAGUAAUGUUCCCUACUAGAAAGGAGAGGGCAAGGCUGGUGCCAGCCGCCGCGGUAAAACCAGCUCUUCAAGUGGUCGGGAUAAUUAUUGGGCUUAAAGUGUCCGUAGCCGGUUUAGUAAGUUCCUGGUAAAAUCGGGUAGCUUAACUAUCUAUAUGCUAGGAAUACUACUAUACUAGAGGGCGGGAGAGGUCUGAGGUACUACAGGGGUAGGGGUGAAAUCUUAUAAUCCUUGUUGGACCACCAGUGGCGAAGGCGUCAGACUGGAACGCGCCUGACGGUGAGGGACGAAAGCCAGGGGAGCGAACCGGAUUAGAUACCCGGGUAGUCCUGGCCGUAAACGAUGCAUACUAGGUGAUGGCACGGCCAUGAGCCGUGUCAGUGCCGUAGGGAAACCGUUAAGUGUGCCGCCUGGGAAGUACGGUCGCAAGGCUAAAACUUAAAGGAAUUGGCGGGGGAGCACCACAAGG